UACGUAGGGCGCAAGCGUUUGUCCGGAAUUAUUGGGCGUAAAGAGCUCGUAGGCGGCCUGUUGCGUCCGCUGUGAAAUCCCGGGGCUCAACCCCGGGCCUGCAGUGGAUACGGGCUGGCUGGAGGCAGGCAGGGGAGAACGGAAUUCCUGGUGUAGCGGUGAAAUGCGCAGAUAUCAGGAGGAACACCGGUGGCGAAGGCGGUUCUCUGGGCCUGUUCUGACGCUGAGGAGCGAAAGCGUGGGGAGCGAACAGG
rnacentral:rRNA from 1 species